rnacentral:misc_RNA from 1 species
AUCUCAGCAGCACUAGCAGUGACAAACUCGAAGCUUGCCUUCUUGUUUACACCCUAAAACUAAAACUAGAGUCGUCGGCGGCAACAAGCGGUACGUACGUAGAGGAUGAAGAGCAGGAGCAGCACUCUGUUGGUGAUCCUAGUUCUCCAGGCCCUUCUGCUCUCUGCGGCUGUGGCCAAAGGACCUGCAGGGCCGAAGAAGCAGUGCUGGUGCGGCGAGUGCACCAGCUGGUCGGGCGUGUGGACCUGCGACGACCUCCUCACCAAGUGCGCCGCCACCUGCAAGAACUGCGUCCCCGUGUCCACGGGCAAGGGCGCCACCAAGUACAGGUGCCGCGACUUCCUCCCCGAAAACUGCGGGUGCAAGAUCCACUAAACUCAUCCAAUUCCACCAUGGCCACAGCAGCCGAUGGAUCCUUCUUCCAUAUGCAUGUUCUCCUCCGUCCGUCCG